UACGUAGGGGGCAAGCGUUGUCCGGAAUCAUUGGGCGUAAAGCGCGUGUAGGCGGCUCGGUAAGUCCGCUCUGAAAGUCCAGGGCUCAACCCUGGGAUGCGGGUGGAUACUGCCGGGCUCGAGUCCGGAAGAGGCGAGUGGAAUUCCCGGUGUAGCGGUGAAAUGCGCAGAUAUCGGGAGGAACACCAAUGGCGAAGGCAAUGUUCUGGCUCGUUUCUGACGCUCAGGUGCGAAAGCCAGGGGAGCGAACGGG
rnacentral:rRNA from 1 species